rnacentral:rRNA from 1 species
GUAACGCGGGGCAACCUGGCGACGAGUGGCGAACGGGUGAGUAAUAUAUCGGAACGUGCCCAGUAGUGGGGGAUAGCCCGGCGAAAGCCGGAUUAAUACCGCAUGAGACCUGAGGGUGAAAGCGGGGGAUCGCAAGACCUCGCGCUAUUGGAGCGGCCGAUAUCAGAUUAGCUAGUUGGUGGGGUAAAGGCCUACCAAGGCAACGAUCUGUAGUUGGUCUGAGAGGACGACCAGCCACACUGGGACUGAGACACGGCCCAGACUCCUACGGGAGGCAGCAGUGGGGAAUUUUGGACAAUGGGCGCAAGCCUGAUCCAGCAAUGCCGCGUGCAGGAAGAAGGCCUUCGGGUUGUAAACUGCUUUUGUCAGGGAAGAAAUCUUCUGGGUUAAUACCUCGGGAGGAUGACGGUACCUGAAGAAUAAGCACCGGCUAACUACGUGCCAGCAGGCGCGGUAAUACGUAGGGUGCGAGCGUUAAUCGGAAUUACUGGGCGUAAAGCGUGCGCAGGCGGCUUUGCAAGACAGAUGUGAAAUCCCCGGGCUCAACCUGGGAACUGCAUUUGUGACUGCAAGGUUAGAGUACGGCAGAGGGGGAUGGAAU